GCGAGCCCCUCGCCGGCGAAACAGCUGAUAUGUGACGCAGAAGUGCCGCAGUGCUGAUGAGGUCUGUGGCCGUGCGCCUCACGGCCAUCCUCGUGGCGCACUGCACGCCGGCCCGCUCCGUGUCCUCAACGCGCUAAUUAGCGAUGUUUUGCGCAGGCGCGAAGAGAGGCGGGGGACCGUCGAUAUAAAUAGAGAAUGCAGGCGACGGCGCGCGUCCCGACGGCCGGCGUCGUCCGAGCGCGACCCUCUCUAUCACUGAACCUGCCGCCGUAUGGCGCGUCGCUGAGCUGCGCGCGCAGAUGCAGCCCAUUGUUUGUAAAUCAUGUUUGUCCCUAAACAUGACCUUUAAAGCUGCCGAAGAAGUUUAGGGAUCUAUGCCUGUUCUUACGUAACUUGUUGUAUAACACUAGGCACACUCAGCUCAUCAAUAGAGAGGGAGUUCAUAGUGCGGAGUAAAUAUUCUUGUAGAAUUUUCUUUUAUAGAAAAAUCUUUAAAGGAUUUUCUUUAAUAUUAUUGUAGGAUUUUCUUAUAUAGAAAAAUACAUUGCAUUUUAAACUUCUUAAUACCGGUGUAUCGAGAUCUUGUUUGGCAGAUGAAUAUAAUUUAGAUUUUUUCUCUCUUCUUUAUUUAACAUCUCUUUAUAUUUUUUAUUCAGACUUUACAUUUUCAGUAGGAUUAUCCAGUAUUUGGGCUUCAAGACCAAUUAAUAAUAUGUUUUAUAUUUUUGUAGGAUCCAAUUUGGGUAGUUUGGUAUUUGAAAUGUAAGUAUUUAAAAAUGAAUUAAUGAUGAAAAAGUCAUUUGAAUUUAGACAGUACUGCGAGGAAGCAGGAAUUUUGCCCGGCAUUGGACAAUUGGCUUCUUUUUACUGUAUGUAAAAAGACAAACGGCUUGCAUCAUACUUGGUUAAAAAUUGAUGAUAACGAACAUUCUGCCAGUUUUUGCGUCGGGGAAUAAAAGUCUGAUGUUAUGUCACUGACAUCUAAUUAAAGAAUUUAAAAUAGUUUUUAUUUAUGAUUUAUUUCAAGAAUAUUUUACAUUAAGUAUAAUUUAAUAAGUAAUUAGUUAUACACGUCAAUUUAUCAUUAGUGCAUUUACAAUGUAGGUACUAAAAUAGACGAAAUAACUAAGAAUUUCAUAAACAACAUAAGAUAGUGUUAGUUGUUAAAACUGAGCAAAUAAUUUCGAUCAAUGAGAUAAUCUAAUGUCCGCCCAAUUCCCACUAACCACUAAUACACAUGAAAUUGGAAAUGACACGAAUCUGACAACUAACAUUAACGAGAUUUGGCUUUUAACGUUAUUAGUAAACUAUUAUGAUUGGGCGAGGCCUAUCAUUACAAUUAGGUACAUACAUAAAAGCGUAGUAGAAGUGAACGCUGACGCAUUUCCAUACUUUAGGCCAAUACGAAACUACUUACGGUGUCUUACCAAAUUACCACAUAAAGCGUUGAGAACAGCAAGGUCUACGUCACACCCUAUCUAAGGUAAGGUACUACAGUUACAUAUAAUUACACAGUACGUACCUAUGUUUAGAAUGAUGUUUCACAAGAUUAGGUACUACAAAUAAUCGUUAGCGAUAUGAUAAGGCACCUAUGAGUGGCACGCGUCUCUGCCCAAGUUCCAUGGUAGCACAAACAAAUCCGGUCAGUGUCGGUGAAACAAACGUGAAUAACUAUUACAUAUGAAUGUACUUUCCUAUUAUAUUUAUAAGAUAUAAUUAUAGAUCUCACGAGGAACGCUACUGCAAGCUCAGAUUACUAUCAACCCUGAGUAGUCAUACACCAUGUAAUCAAAUAAUUCUCAAGUUUAUAUUACACAGAUUUAUUCAAAUCAUUAUUUCAAACAGCUAUGAUAAUUUUAAGAGUGUAAACUCAUAAGCCCAUCGAAAUAAUCACGUUAAUAAAACUGUAUUAAAAGAGUGAGUUUAUAUUCAUAGAGACUUGAUUUUAUUUUUCUACCUACAAAUACAAAUGAGUUUUAACUGUGACAUUACAUCAAGUGGUUAACUACAGUUCAAUACAACAGCUAUACUGAUGCACACUACUGCAACGUCAGGACUCGAGGCCACUACCAGUCAAAUAAUAAUGGACGGCGUAAUGUCACAAAUUGACGCCACACUAAGUUUGACAAUGCAAAAUUCAGGAAUGUAUAAAUCAAUUUAUAUUUGUAUACAUUUCAAACAAAAUACUGUCGAAGACAUCUUUAUAACAAAAUUAUCAUAAAAUAUAUCCAACAUAGUAAAUUAAACUAAGUACAGAAAUUCUAACGAACGAGAUACCUUGUCGAGUGCCUCGGGUGUACUUAACGGUGUAUCCAAUGAUUCGGAAGGAAUAUAAUCCUAAUGAUUUCAUGAAGUACAAAAAUAAAAUUUAUUACAAUCAACGCAAUGGCACAAUACUCCUGGUAUGACAAAACGAGAUAUUUUACCUGUGGCCCUAUCCCACAGAGUCAAGCACAAGAAUUACAACAGUAUUAAUAU